rnacentral:misc_RNA from 1 species
GCCUGAAUUCUGACUGGAUCCGAGAAUUCAUAUUUAUCAUCCUCCCUUAGAUAAAGUGUAAUUUGUGUUCCUCGAGUUAGAAGAUUUUCAGGAUUAGUUUCCUCUCUGAUGACAUAUGAGCUACUGUCAGCCUCCGCCUCCCAAACAAACUGUUUAUCUGACCUUGGGCUCUUCGUGGAAACUACAACCUUUUGCGCAACAAGAAAUGCAGAAUAGAAACCAACACCAAAUUGACCAAUCAAUCCAUUGUCAGCUCCCAGGUCUUUGUUUUCCUUAAGUGCCUUCAAGAAUUUUGAGGUACCACUUUGGGCAAUAGUCCCAAGACAGUCUAUGAGCUCUUCUUUUGUCAUUCCAAUACCAGUAUCCGUUAUAGUAACAGUCCCAUUGUCUGGAUCAGGUUUGAUGCGAAUCUCUAGCUCACUAGAAUCUCCAAGUAAAGAGGGCUCCGUCAAACUCAGAAAUCUCAACUUAUCAAGGGCAUCACUAGCAUUACUCACAAGCUCUCGCAAGAAAACCUCCUUGUGACUGUAUAGACUGUGAACAAUCAAGUCCAUUAGGCGACUGACCUCAGCCUGAUAUUCAUGGGUCUCCCCAGAUGUCUCAGAAGCUUCUUUUUCAGCUACAGCAGAAGCCUCACACCUAACCACUACUCCAACAUCUCUUUUAUCCUGUUUCCACCUCAACCCAGAUUGUAAAAAUCCAUUCUUGAUAUUAUUCCUAGGCAAGAAAGUAGUUUUAAGACAGACCCUAUUGGUACUACCACUCCCCAAUACAAAAGAUGGACUGUAAGGCACUGAAGCCAUAGGUGAAGAAGUCAAACUCCUGCUUACUACAGGGGCCAUUAUCUAAACUAUUUGAGAAAAUCCCACAAAGGAUUCUUGAAAUUUCUGUGAAUUUUUUUCACUGUGUGUUUGUGUGUGUGUAUGGAUAAAGGGAUUGAGCUAAAGAAUUCUUGAGGGUUUGUGUAAAAACCCUGAAAUGUGGAGAAGGGGGUUUAAGG